CUUCACCUGACAAUGCAAAUUUACUUAUGAUCUAGUGAUGGAGGAAAUCACAAUGUGCGAUGAAACCGGUAGCAUUUGCACUAACUGGCAUUGACUGCAUGGCAAUCGCGCAGACAAACACUACAAGUGAUAACACAAAGUUCGUAAAUGGAAAAUUGUUGGUGAGCAGAAUGCCUUCCAGUGAUAGAGGAUGGUAAGAAGAGGAAAGGCAUUUGGCAGCUCUGUUUAUUGGUGGGUCUUGGGUGAUUUGGGAAGAAAGAAAUGGAAGGUGUUUUAGGAACUUAGUCAUUCUUUGGGUUGGGUUAAGAUGCAAGCAAGGUGCCUGGUUUUUUAGUGGGCUUCAUGUUUGGGUGGGGAUAUUGAUUGUUGUUUUUUGUAACUUCUGGUGGGGACUUCAGUUGAGUAUUUUUUUUUGUAAAUUUGGGUGACUGGCUUCGGCUUAUUGUUAUAUAGUACUUGCGCUUUUUGUGCUCUGGUUAUAUAAAAAAUUGUUACCUCUGAAAAAUAAUAAUAAAUAAAAUCCCAUUGCAAUUAGA